rnacentral:tRNA from 19 species
GGGGGUGUAGCUCAGCUGGGAGAGCACCUGCCUUGCACGCAGGGGGUCAGGAGUUCGAUCCUCCUCAUCUCCACCA